AUUGGUGUAGCAGCUGACCAUGGCAAGUGAUAGAGACACGGACUGAGAGAGAGAAAAAGCUGUAGGCUUUAUUGAGCAGAGUGAAAGUACAAAGCUUCCACAGCAUGGAAGGGGUCCCGAAUGGGUAGCCACUGUUGGUUUUGGGUGAUUGCCUUGUCAAUUUUUCAAGGCAGGAGAUACGUGAGGCGGGAAGCUUGUUACAGGAGGGAGAAACAAAGCUUUCUUGGGGAAGAAAACACAUGCACAAAUCCUGGUGUAAGGAAUAUUUUAAGCAUAUAUCUUCAAUAUCAUUCAUCCAGGACCGAGCAAGACCAACACUCUUCCUCCUCCUCUGCCUACUCAAUGUGAAGACAAUGAGGAUGAACACCUUUAUGAUGCUCCACUUCCACUUAUUGAAUAAAAUGGAAGGAGAACUAGAGGGAUUUCAGAAUUGUUUCCUCUUGAGAACAGAAAGAGAAAUAGACAUUGGAAGGAGAGACUACAAAGACAGAUCAGAGGGGCAUCUCAGAGCAGAGACAUAUAUCUUUCCACCAGAGACUUUGCUUGCCUUUAUGGUGCUACACAUGAAACUUGUAACCAGUUACUACAGGCGAAAGCAAAUCCAUGUCUUCAGGCUGGUGUCAUCAGGGAGAGAAGCUUUGGUUUCCACAUAAGGAUAUAAGAUCAUUGAUGUAAAACAAGACAUGUAACCUCUCAAAUUGAGAGAAUGGAUUGGAGAGAUAUUGUUGACCAUGUUUUCCCCUGUAUCUCACCUUCCCCUCUCCAAGACUUCCUUGUCAGUUACCCAUAUUGAUAUCAGUUUAUCCACAUCCAUGCUUUCAAGUUUAAACAAAGAAACUAGGCAAAGGCAGCUAUGUAUUCGCUAGGAUUAGGGAGGAGAAGAUAAUGAACCACUGGAUAGUGAGAAGAAAGAGAGGUGGAGAAAGUGAGAGACCCCAGUAACAGAGGACAGGGACACAUUGCUAAGGAUAGGGACACAUUCACUGUAAUAUAGAAGGCCAUGCUUAUAUGUAAAAUAUGCAGUAAUUGUAUAUAUAUGUACAAAAGUGAUGACACACAUAUGCACAUAAACAAAACACAAUUACUGUCUAUGUUUCUUUAUUUGUGACCUAAUGUUUUAUGUUGUUUGUAACUGAAAAAAAAAUUCCCUUCUGAAUAAAAUGUCAAUUUUGCGAUUG
rnacentral:lncRNA from 1 species